rnacentral:rRNA from 1 species
CCCCCUCGCCGAAAGACCAAGGUUUCCUGAUCAACGCUAAACGGAUCAGGGUCAGUCGGGACCUAAGCAAAAGCCGAAAGGCGUAUGCGAUGGAUGAACUGGUUAAUAUUCCAGUACUAAUUAUAUGAGUGAUGUGGAGACGGAGAAGUGACAAUGCUGCCAACUGACGGAAUAGUUGGUUAAAGGGUGUAGGAUAUGAUUGGCGUAGGCAAAUCCGCGCUGAGAUCUGAACCUGAUAGUACGAAGCGUGCUUGCACAAUUCGAUAUGCAUGUAAUCAGGCUCCCAAGAAAAACCGCUAAACAUAUUGUAUUAUUACCCGUACCGUAAACCGACACAGGUGGUUGGGUUGAGUAUACUAAGGCGCUCGAGUGAUUCGCGGUUAAGGAACUAGGCAAAAUAGUCCUGUAACUUCGGGAUAAAGGACGCCUCUAUAGAGAUAUAGAGGCCGCAGUGAAAAGGCCCUGGCGACUGUUUAACAAAAACACAUGGCUAUGCAAAAUAGAAAUAUCACGUAUAUAGCCUGACACCUGCCCGGUGCUGGAAGGUUAAGAGGAGAGGUCAUCAGCGAUGAGAAGCUUUGAAUUGAAGCCCCAGUAAACGGCGGCCGUAACUAUAACGGUCCUAAGGUAGCGAAAUUCCUUGUCGGGCAAGUUCCGACCUGCACGAAUGGUGUAACGAUCUGGGCACUGUCUCAACCGCGAGCUCGGUGAAAUUGUAGUAUCGGUGAAGAUGCCGAUUACCCGCAACGGGACGAAAAGACCCCGUGAACCUUUACUAUAGCUUUACAUUGUAGCCGGGUAUUAGAUGUGUAGGAUAGGCCGGAGACUGAGAAUUGGUGACGCCAGUCAUCAAGGAGUCGCUGUUGAAAUACGGCCCUUUUACUAUUUGGCUACUAACGCGCGAGGUGCGGACAGUGUAUGGUGGGUAGUUUGACUGGGGUGGUCGCCUCCAAAAGCGUAACGGAGGCUUCUAAAGGUACCCUCAGGCCGAUUGGUAACCGGUCGCAGAGUGUAAUGGCAUAAGGGUGCUUGACUGGGAGACAAACAAGUCGCACAGGUAGGAAACUAGAGCAUAGUGAUCCGGUGGUUCCGUAUGGAAGGGCCAUCGCUCAAAGGAUAAAAGGUACUCCGGGGAUAACAGGCUGAUCGCUCCCAAGAGCUCAUAUCGACGGAGCGGUUUGGCACCUCGAUGUCGGCUCGUCACAUCCUGGGGCUGGAGAAGGUCCCAAGGG